CGCAGCCAAUCGGGAGUGAGUCAGGCGCGCCCCUUGGAGGGGAAAUAUUCGCGUAGAGCGGGAAGCCAGGCUGUGGAUGACAGUCAGGUGCUCUUUUUACACCUGAGGGAGGCAGUUACAUGGACGUCCAGACUCCUGGCAAUAUCCACGUGGUUGUGCUGGGCAGAGAGAAGCCUGGGAUGCUGAGUGAUCACAUAGCCAGCUGGGCCCAAUGAAGAUGGUUCAAGAAACUCACCUCCAGUUGGAACUUGAGGUGCUCCCUCAUGCUCUCAAACAGUAGGAAGCAUACCCGCAAGGAAGCAGCAUAAAGGUUCAGUCGCUCUACGCUGAGUAGCUGGAGAUCACAGUAGGAUGGACCAUUAGGUUUCUGAAUCUGACUAUGGCCCAACCAAGAGAAAGGCAGCAGAGCAAACUGUGGGGAGUUGCUACUAAGGUCCUGUGCUUUGAGGGAACUCUGUAUCUAGCCAUUUCUAUGUUUCCCUUUGGCUGCCAGAGUCCCUGGGGAACUACUGGAGUCCUGCUGACUAUGACUACUGAUCAACAGGGGAGGAAGGUUCUUUCCUGGGUUUUAUACUCUUUGCACAAAUCAGCCAAACCUCCCUGUGCUCCCAUGACCCUUAAGAGACUCUGAAAAAAAGCCAGGAGCUGGGACCCCUUCUAGAAAUCCAGUCUUACCUGGAAUAAGUGGCGGCACAUCUCAUCCUUGAUGAGGCCCAAGAGGGUUUGGCACUGGGCUACAGGGGCUGACUCAAGAGCCACUGUCAGCAAAUGCAGUCCCAUGUGGAUCAUAACCUCUGAGUUGUGGCGGUCAUGUGGGUUGGUGAGGGAGAUGAGGAAGCGGAAGAGCUCACGGAUGCAGGGAAGACCAUAGGGGACCAAAGCUGUGCCUGGGAAAGGCCAGGAAGGAAGUGGGACUGCUAAGACUGCUAACUGGCUUGACUGCUUGGCGUAGCCAGCCCUCCAUUAUACAGGGAUUUCAGGAAACUCCAAUGACCAGCUGGCCUGAGGUCUCCGAUGACCAGCUUGUCUGCCAAGUCGAGGAAGGGGAGAGGGUAACACUGACAAAAGAGCAAAGGAAAAAGGCACAGAGGGCAGCUGGAGGCCGUGAAGAGAGAUGACCUGCAGGUGGUGCUCAGGGUAAGGGUGUAAGUAGCUGGGCCUGAUUUUUGCUUGGGAAAAGUCUGAAGUUAGGACGAGGGUGCCUGGAAAGGCUGAUGCACCUAUUCAGAACCUAGCUGGCACCCAGGAUUCCUACUCAGGAUCCUGAACACUUCAGCUAAGCAAAUCCAACUUUUUAGAAAAGACAAAGGGUUUUCUUGCCUUGAACUGAAGGCCAUUUUCCUUUCUGGCUAGCUACAGCCUGAGCUGCUCUUUUCUUGUCUCCCUACUUAGAAACAAGGACAGCUGCCUGUUUACUAUGCCCCUCACCCUUGCAAAUGGGCAGGCAAUAGGGGAAAAGGAAUUCAGGAUCUUGAGUGACAAGACCAACUAAAAAGGAAUCUAAAAAAGACACCAUAAACAAAUUCAGAGAUAAACAAUUAACUGCAAAAAAUAUUUAGGCUAGACUGGGAGAAAAUAUUUGUAAUGCUAUGACAGACAAUGGAUCAAUAUCCUCACUAUACAAAGAACUACAAACUGAUAAGCAAAACAAAAACAACUCAAUAAAAUAAUAGGCGAAGGAGAAGAAAUUCAAAUGUUCAACCUUAAAGAUAUAAAAUCAAUAAAAUACCAGUUUUCACCCACCAAAUUAGCACAAAUAAAGAAUACCAAUAAUAUUCAGUGCUGGUGACAUGGUGGGGAAUUGGAAACUCUCAAACUUUACUGUUGGAAGUGCAAAUGAUGCAAUCUUUUGGGCAUGCAAACUGGUAGUACCUAUAAAAAUGUAAUUUGCACAUUAUAGAUUUAAUCCAGAAAUUUCAAGUAUAGGAAUCUAUCACACGAAAGGAAAAAUUGAUCAAUAAAGACAUAUGAACAAGGAUGCUUACUUCAGCAUUAUUUAUAAUGGCUCAAAAUAAGAAACAAUGUAAAUAUUAAAUAUUACUCAAUAAGAGAAUGAUUAAAUAAAUUGUAUUCUAUCUAUACUAUGAAAAUUACACAGCUACCAAAAAGAAAAAAAAUCUUAACAGGGGCUGAGGGGAGGGGGAAAUAGUGUAUUAUUGCUCAAUGGUUAGAAUUUCUUUUUUGGUGUGAUGAAAAAGUUCAAGAAACAGAUGGUGGUGAUAGUUGCACAACACUGCAAAUGUAAUUAAUACCACUGAAUUACAUACUUUAAAAAUGAUUAAAAUGGUAUUUUUAUUAUGUAUAUUUUAUCACAAUUAAAAAAGAAUAUACAAACUCCCAGUUAUAAGAUUAAUGAGUUUUGGGGAUGUUGUGUACAGCAUGGGGACUACAGUUAACAAUAUUGUGGUGUAUAUUUGAAAAUUGCUAAGACAAUAGAUCUUAAAAGAUCUCAUCACAAGAAAAAAAUUUGUAACUAUGUGAGGUGAUGGA